rnacentral:rRNA from 1 species
CUCCUACGGGAGGCAGCAGCCGCGGUAAUACUCCUACGGGAGGCAGCAGUGGGGAAUAUUGGGCAAUGGGGGAAACCCUGACCCAGCAACGCCGCGUGAAGGAAGAAGGCCUUCGGGUUGUAAACUUCUUUUAGCAGGGACGAAGAACGUGACGGUACCUGCAGAAAAAGCAACGGCUAACUACGUGCCAGCAGCCGCGGUAAUA